GCCGGGCACGGUGGCACGUGCCUGUAGUCCCAGCUACUCAGGAGGCUGAGGUGGGAGGAUCGCUUGAGCCCAGGAGUUCUGGGCUGUAGUGCGCUAUGCCAAUCAGGUGUCUGCACUAAGUUCAGCAUCAAUAUGGUGACCUCCCGGGAGCGGGGGACCACCAGAUUGCCUAAGGAGGGGUGAACCAGACCAGGUCAGAAACGGAGCAGGUCAAAACUCCCCUGCUGAUCAGUAGUGGGAUCGCACCUGUGAAUAGCCACUGCACUCCAGCCUGGGCAACAUAGCGAGACCCUGUCUCU
rnacentral:SRP_RNA from 1 species